UACGAAGGGUGCAAGCGUUACUCGGAAUUACUGGGCGUAAAGCGUGCGUAGGUGGUUCGUUAAGUCUGAUGUGAAAGCCCUGGGCUCAACCUGGGAAUGGCAUUGGAAACUGGCGACCUAGAGUGCGGUAGAGGGUAGUGGAAUUCCCGGUGUAGCAGUGAAAUGCGUAGAUAUCAGGAGGAACACCGGUGGCGAAGGCGGCUACCUGGACAGAGUCUGACGCUGAGGCACGAAAGCUAGGGGAGCAAACAGG
rnacentral:rRNA from 1 species